UACGGAGGGUGCGAGCGUUGUCCGGAAUCAUUGGGCGUAAAGGGCUCGUAGGCGGUUUGUCGCGUCGGGAGUGAAAACGCCGUGCUUAACACGGCGCUUGCUUUCGAUACGGGCAGACUAGAGGUAUGCAGGGGAGAACGGAAUUCCUGGUGUAGCGGUGAAAUGCGCAGAUAUCAGGAGGAACACCGGUGGCGAAGGCGGUUCUCUGGGCAUUACCUGACGCUGAGGAGCGGAAGUGUGGGGAGCGAACAGG
rnacentral:rRNA from 1 species